rnacentral:lncRNA from 1 species
GAUGGGUAGAGGAUAAAAUAUGGAAAUGUUUCUCUUUCUAAAUGUGAUUAUAAAAUAGGAAAUUGUUAUGUCUUUUGCAGGCAUAUCUAGAGCUCUUCAAAUAAGCAAUGUGAUGUUAGAAAAAGUGCAGAAGCUCCUUCAGCACUUUCCAGGGCUAACCAGCUGCUGAGGAGGGACCUCUAGGAAGGAGAGAAGCACUCUGAUCCAGACAGGGAUUUACACCUAAAGUUCCAACUCCACCAUGUCUUCAGAACAGUUCUUCUGGACCUUGCAUCCAAUUGUGGAGAUGUUAAUUAUCAACAAACAAAAUCUCCGGGUGCCCGAAGGACCUAGGCUACACAGAAACCUGUGAACUGCCCGUGAGAAUGCAAUGAGUCAAAAGAAUAACAGAAUUAAAUGAGAGUGCCAAGAAAUAAGAUAGAAACGCCAAGAAGAACCAAUUUGGGGUGAGUAGGCGUGCAAAGGAUGACUGAUUGAUAAAUUGGGUUUAGGAGUCAAGAGUUAUGCUCUAACAAUUGGGUAUAGCAGAAGGUAUUCAAAUAAGAAAUUGCUGGUAUUCU